rnacentral:misc_RNA from 1 species
GAUGAAGAACGCAGCGAAAUGCGAUAAGUAAUGCGAAUUGCAGAAUUCAGUGAGUCAUCGAAUCUUUGAACGCACAUUGCGCCCUUUGGUAUUCCGAAGGGCAUGCCUGUUCGAGCGUCAUUUCACCACUCAAGCCUCGCUUGGUAUUGGGCAACGCGGUCCGCCGCGUGCCUCAAAUCGACCGGCUGGGUCUUCUGUCCCCUAAGCGUUGUGGAAACUUUCGCUAAAGGGUGUUCGGGAGGCUACGCCGUAAAACAACCCCAUUUCUAAGGUUGACCUCGGAUCAGGUAGGGAUACCCGCUGAACUUAAGCAUAUCAAUAAGCGGAGGA